rnacentral:rRNA from 1 species
GACGAACGCUGGCGGCGUGCUUAACACAUGCAAGUCGAACGGAAAGGCCCUGCUUUUGUGGGGUGCUCGAGUGGCGAACGGGUGAGUAACACGUGAGUAACCUGCCCUUGACUUUGGGAUAACUUCAGGAAACUGGGGCUAAUACCGGAUAGGAGCUCCUGCUGCAUGGUGGGGGUUGGAAAGUUUCGGCGGUUGGGGAUGGACUCGCGGCUUAUCAGCUUGUUGGUGGGGUAGUGGCUUACCAAGGCUUUGACGGGUAGCCGGCCUGAGAGGGGGGCCGGCCACAUUAGGCCUGAGAUACGGCCCAGAAUCCUACGGGAGGCAGCAGGGGGGAACAUUGCACAAUGGGCGGAAGCCUGAUGCAGCAACGCCGCGUGCGGGAUGACGGCCUUCGGGUUGUAAACCGCUUUCGCCUGUGACGAAGCGUGAGUGACGGUAAUGGGUAAAGAAGCACCGGCUAACUACGUG